rnacentral:lncRNA from 1 species
CUCUCUCUCUCCACUCUCUCUCUCUCUCUCUCUCUCUCUCUCUCUCUCUCUCUCUCUCUCCAAAGUGCUCAGCAUCUUCGUCAGCGCCGUCCACAAUGCCAUCUCCCCAUGUCGUCAUUGCUGACAUCACCGUCGUCGAGCUUCUGGGCUUCGGGUCGUUUGUCGACCAUGCCGCGGACGUCUUCGUCGGACGAGCGGGGCUGCGGCGGCGCCCGAUCCAAGCUGAUAGUUAAUGACAAAGGAGGCGAUGCGGGGGAGAGAUCGGAGAUUUUGGAGAUGAACUUGGAGUGUCGCCGCCGGCAUAUUAGAGGAGGCCGAAGGGUGGGCGGGGGUGGAAGGCGCCGUUGAAGAAGCAGAUGAGCUUGAGGUGGGUGUGGUGGUUGGUGGUGUGCCUAUUGGGCUGAGCGUGGUGGUGGUUGCGGCGAGAAAGAGAAAGAGGUGGCAGAGAGAGAGAGAGAGAGAGAGAGAGAGGGAGAUCACCGUUCGUGUAAUAUCUAAUGGUUGGUUUUAAAAGUCCUUAACCGGUCUGCAACUAUGCGGUCCGCAGUAGAAGGGGCUUCAUCGAUAUAGAUCUACAGUUUUGUAUGCAAAAAGUUAUGCAUGCGAGUACAAGUGAGAGACGCCCGUGAAAUAUUACUUGCUACUAUUUUAAUUUUAAGGACCUAUUUUAUUAUAUAUAUAUAUAUAUAUUAUUUUUUUUGAAUAUAAAGACUAAACAACAGCUCUCACGUCAUAACUAUUAAUGAAACCUCAGAAUAUAAAAAAGGAAACGUUGUGCCUAAAUCCC